rnacentral:rRNA from 1 species
GACGAACGCUGGCGGCGUGCUUAACACAUGCAAGUCGAACGGAAAGGCCCUGCUUUUGUGGGGUGCUCGAGUGGCGAACGGGUGAGUAACACGUGAGUAACCUGCCCUUGACUUUGGGAUAACUUCAGGAAACUGGGGCGAAUACCGGAGAGGAGCUCCUGCUGCAUGGUGGGGGUUGGAAAGUUUCGGCGGUUGGGGAUGGAUUCGCGGCUUAUCAGCUUGUUGGUGGGGUAGGGGCUUACCAAGGCUUUGACGGGUAGCCGGCCUGAGAGGGUGACCGGCCACAUUGGGACUGAGGUACGGCCCAGACUCCUACGGGAGGCAGCAGUGGGGAAUAUUGCACAAUGGGCGGAAGCCUGAUGCAGCAACGCCGCGUGCGGGAUGACGGCCUUCGGGUUGUAAACCGCUUUCGCCUGUGACGAAGCGUGAGUGACGGUAAUGGGUAAAGAAGCACCGGCUAACUACGUG